ACUCUGUCGGUCCUCUCCCAUUUCGCUCUCAUCAUCCCUCUUCUCUUUCUCUCACUCCAUCGCAGGCGACCCUCCUACCAGCCACAGUCCACCACUGUUGCACACGAGCACCCACCUCCUCACCGGCGACGGUACGACCCACCUCCCCACCAGCGAUAGUACCACCCAUGUCCCCACCAGCAAUGGACAGCAGUAGCUACUUUCAUUUGUGUCUCCUCCAGCGCACACCAGUUAAAGUUCAAAUCGGAUUCGAUUGGAACUAGAGAUACUUUAGCAGUGAAGAGGACUCUUUUGAAAAGGAGCUCUCUUCUUCUCCACCAAGCACAAGGUUUGUGUGAGAAAAAAUCAAUUGGGGUUGUGAAUGAUGUCCCAACUUUCAAUGCUGAGAAUACGCAGAACAACAUGAAAGCUGUCUAUUAUAGUAGGACUCAUAGCAAAGGCGGGGUUUUCCAUCCAUUCAUACUUUGAUUCCUGGAACCAGAUUAUAUUUGAUGGCAUUUUGGCAAGGCUUAUGUCAUUCGUGCUGUUUUGGACGUAUCCUUUUCAUAAUUCAGAAGAUUAUGCACAGAAUAACUAAGAAAAUUAAGAAAACACAAGUGCAGACAGAGUCUGAAGACCCCAUGUAAGGAUGAUGCCAAGUGCAUUGUUGGUUGAUACUAAAAGCCAAGCAUUGUUCCUUGUUCUCAAGGUGCAUUGCUUUUUCCUUUUUGGGUGGCAAAGUGGUAUAUCUUCAUUAAAGUGGAGUGUUUCCAUUUCCCAAACCAGAACUGCAACUGACACCCAAAAAUUGGAGGACCUAGUCUUGUUGGUGGUUGCGAACUGUCUAACGGAUACAUUGAAUGGCUUUUGGCGUGGACUUGUGGAUAGUCUACAUUUUUGUUUAUGAAGGACACUUGACACUUUUGUAUAAUCCUGCUAACUGUGUCUUUCUCUGCUUUUGUGAAAGUAUUUUUUGUAUACGGAGGGUUUUGAUUUUUGUAUGAUUCUAUAUUUUGUAUGGAAUUAUUAUUUUAGUUUGGACAAUAGUUGGUUUGUAUGGACUUUGACAUUUAAAAGUUA